rnacentral:misc_RNA from 1 species
AAGUCGUAACAAGGUAACCGUAGGUGAACCUGCGGUUGGAUCAUCACGUGUUAAACGUAAUAUUAUUCUACCAACGCGAACUCUUUAAAGGGUGAUGAACUUCGACUAAAAAUUACUUCGAAUUCAUUUUCGUUGUGAUUUUGGUUGAUUUUUUCCUCCGCAAAUUAUUAAUUCUUCAUUGAAUUUUUAGUUUGAAAACUUUUGAUUAACAAUCAAAACAAACUUUUAUAACUUUUUUAGUUACUGAAAUUAAAAUUUGCGUUUUUUUCCAACUUUUUUGUUGGUUAAAAAAUUCAAGUUUUUCAUUUACGAAACAAAAUUGAACAACUCUUAGCAACGGAUAUCUAGGUUCUC